rnacentral:rRNA from 1 species
UACGUAGGGGGCAAGCGUUGUCCGGAUUUAUUGGGCGUAAAGAGCGUGUAGGCGGUUCGGUAGGUCCGUUGUGAAAACUCGAGGCUCAACCUCGAGACGCCGAUGGAAACCCCCGAACUAGAGUCCGGAAGAGGAGAGUGGAAUUCCUGGUGUAGCGGUGAAAUGCGCAGAUAUCAGGAGGAACACCGAUUGCGAAGGCAGCUCGCUGGAACGUUACUGACGCUGAGACGCGAAAGCGUGGGGAGCAAACAGG